GUAGGUGGCAAGCGUUGUCCGGAAUUAUUGGGCGUAAAGCGCGCGCAGGCGGUUCUUUAAGUCUGAUGUGAAAGCCCACGGCUCAACCGUGGAGGGUCAUUGGAAACUGGAGAACUUGAGUACAGAAGAGGAAAGCGGAAUUCCACGUGUAGCGGUGAAAUGCGUAGAGAUGUGGAGGAACACCAGUGGCGAAGGCGGCUUUCUGGUUUGUAACUGACGCUGAGGCGCGAAAGCGUGGGGAGCAAACAGGGAUUAGAUACCCUGGUAGUCCACGCCGUAAACGAUGAGUGCUAAGUGUUAGGGGGGGUUUCCGCCCCCGUUAGUGCUGCAGCUAACGCAUUAAGCACUCCGCCUGGGGAGUACGGCCGCAAGGCUG
rnacentral:rRNA from 1 species